CUUCUAUAUGACCUAAUGUCAGCCUGCCUUGGACUCUAUUGGAAUCCAGCACUACCUGAUGGAAACUUGGCGUGGUCAGUGCCCACUGGUAACUGUCAAGGCCUUUCCAUGCCUCAGUUCAGCUCCCUGAGAAGCUAUCGAGUGUCACAGCAUGUCACAGGCCACAGGCCAGCACACGGAGGGGUUCAUCUGAUGUCAGGUGCUGUCUCCAGGUCCAUUUAGCUGUGAUGAACACGGGGCCCGAGUGAUACAAGGUGGGCUUCCAUUCACGUAAGGGUGGUGGCCUGGGCAACCUCACUUAAAGGGAUGGUUGUGGGUGAUGUACCAAAUGGCUGGGGCCUGGUACAGAUGUCCUGGUUACAGCCUCAGUUCUGCGCAGGUUGUCAAAGAGCCAAGGAGACGGAGUUUUGAUCUUUCGGGGCUACAAUUUCAAAUGAUAAAUAGCCUAAUUCUGGGAGUUCUCUUUGGAGUAACAAUGGUAACCUGAGUGCAAGAAACACAAGCUGAGUCUCCAUCUGGAGCGCGGAACCCACCAUGCUUACUAAUUAUGCCUGGGCUGCUAAGAUCCGACCAGGGAGGCCUCAGUGUCUCCUCUCCUUCGGGAGAAUGGAAGGACGCCUGCGGCCUACGAAUUGCAUUUCUCUCCUUCGUCACUGGUCUUCUGUUCAUAGAGCUUGGGAGUGGCAGAUGAGGUUUGGGUGAAGGGAAGCCUUUGGCCUUUUGGCUUUCAACUGAUUAGAUGACACCCACCCACACAGCGAAGGGAAAUCUACUAUGUAAAUUUCACAUUCAGUUCCAAAGCAGAUUUUGUCAAGUUCAGACGGAAGAAGAACAAGGACGCUAAUGAUGGGGAGCAGAAAAGUGGCACAAUCAGCCAUGCCGUGAUUGGGGCUCUCAGGCUCCAGCUGCGCCUUCUUUGGAACAUGGCUUGCAGACUCCAGAGGACACUCGAAGAGCGGCUACUUAAAACUGUACGUCAAAAUGCUUCAUGAACCACAAACAUGCACGUAGAUAGCCAUGCACAAUAAAUAAUGUUUUGUUCAGAAAAUAAUGCUGGAGCCAAAAACAAAACUUCAUCUUCGACCUAUGCCAAGAAAUGGCAUUUACAUGUGAGUCUAUUGGUAGUUCAAGAUUUUAGAGGUCUGUAGGUUGCAAAAUAAAGUUCUUUAACAUUUUUGUCAUCACUUUAUGUGCCUAGGUAUUUAUUAUUUCACAUCCCUGUUUUUCCCUCAUCUGUCUUUUAGCAAUUUUUUAUUCUUCAUUUUCUCUCUAAAACUGGUCAUAAUGCAGAAAUAAGGUAGCAUUUAAGUUAUUUUGAUUUUGUUCAUUAAAAACACAUGUAUGUGCCCCUAAAAGUUACUACUUCCUUUUUGCUGCUUAUUAUUUUGUUCAACAUACAUGAGAAAUAAAUA
ensembl:lncRNA